rnacentral:rRNA from 1 species
GGCUUGGAAGCAGCCAUUCAUUUAAAGAGUGCGUAACAGCUCACUAGUCGAGCGGACGAGCAUGGAUAAUAAUCGGGCAUAAGCAUAUUACCGAAGCUAUGGACAGAAUAUUCUGUGGUAGGGGAGCAUUCUAACAUCAGCGAAGGUGUGUCGUGAGGCAUGCUGGAGAGGUUAGAAAAGAAAAUGUAGGCAUAAGUAACGAUAAUGCAGGCGAGAAACCUGCACACCGAAAGACUAAGGUUUCCGCAGCUAUGCUAAUCAGCUGCGGGUUAGUCGGGGCCUAAGGCGAAUCCGAAAGGAACAGUCGAUGGACAACGGGUUAAUAUUCCCGUACUAGUUGUAAUUGUGAUGGGGUGACACAGUGAUGAAAGUACCGCCAGCUGACGGAAUAGCUGGUUAAAGCACCUACCUAUAGGUCCUGUAGUAAAAUGCGCAGGAACUGGGGAAAUGCGAUAGUACUCAGAGUCUUCGGACAAAGAGAUAGUGUACCUAAGGGCUGUCAAGAAAAACCUCUAAACUUAGAUUACAAGUACCCGUACCGUAAACCGACACAGGUAGUCGAGGAGAGAAUCCUAAGGUGCUCGAGAGAUUCAUGGCUAAGGAAUUAGGCAAAAUAGACCUGUAACUUCGGGAGAAAGGUCGCCAGCGUAAGCUGGCCGCAGUGAAGAGGUCCAGGCGACUGUUUAUCAAAAACACAGGGCUCUGCAAAAUCGUAAGAUGAAGUAUAGGGCCUGACACCUGCCCGGUGCUGGAAGGUUAAGAGGAGAUGUUAUCUUCGGAGAAGCAUUGAAUUGAAGCCCCAGUAAACGGCGGCCGUAACUAUAACGGUCCUAAGGUAGCGAAAUUCCUUGUCGGGUAAGUUCCGACCUGCACGAAUGGUGUAACGAUCUGGACACUGUCUCAGCCAUGAGCUCGGUGAAAUUGUAGUAACGGUGAAGAUGCCGUUUACCCGCAGUGGGACGAAAAGACCCUGUGCACCUUUACUAUAGCUUAGUAUUGACUUUGGAUAAGUGAUGUGUAGGAUAGGUGGGAGACUUCGAUCCUGCGUCGCCAGGCGUAGGUUAGUCAUUGUUGAAAUACCACCCUUUGCUUAUCUGAAGCCUAACCCCGCGCUGCGGGGGACAUUGCUUGGUGGGUAGUUUGACUGGGGUGGUCGCCUCCAAAAGAGUAACGGAGGCUUCUAAAGGUUCCCUCAGCACGCUUGGUAACCGUGCGUAGAGUGCAAUGGCAUAAGGGAGCUUGACUGAGAGACAUACAGGUCGAUCAGGUACGAAAGUAGAGCAUAGUGAUCCGGUGGUUCCGCAUGGAAGGGCCAUCGCUCAAAGGAUAAAAGGUAC